rnacentral:tRNA from 1 species
GGAGGAUAGCUCAGUGGUAGAGCACAUGCUUAGCAUGCAUGAGGUCCUGGGUUCAAUCCCCAGCACCUCCG